GUGGUGGUGGUGGUGGUGGUGGUGGUGGU
rnacentral:piRNA from 2 species